rnacentral:tRNA from 1 species
GCCUGAGUGGCUCAGUCGGUUAAGCGUCUGACUUCGGCUCAGGUCAUGAUCUCAUGGUUGGUGGGUUCAAGCCCCACGUCAGGCU